rnacentral:rRNA from 1 species
GACGAACGCUGGCGGCGUGCUUAACACAUGCAAGUCGAACGGAAAGGCCCUGCUUUUGUGGGGUGCUCGAGUGGCGAACGGGUGAGUAACACGUGAGUAACCUGCCCUUGACUUUGGGAUAACUUCAGGAAACUGGGGCUAAUACCGGAUAGGAGCUCCUGCUGCAUGGUGGGGGUUGGAAAGUUUCGGCGGUUGGGGAUGGACUCGCGGCUUAUCAGCUUGUUGGUGGGGUAGUGGCUUACCAAGGCUUUGACGGGUAGCCGGCCUGAGAGGGUGACCGGACACAUUGGGACGGAGAUACGGCCCAGACUCCUACGGGAGGCAGCAGUGGAGAAUAUUGCACAAGGGGCGGAAGCCUGAUGCAGCAACGCCGCGUGGGGGAUGACGGCCUUCGGGUUGUAAACCGCUUUCGCCUGUGACGAAGCGUGAGUGACGGUAAUGGGUAAAGAAGCACCGGCUAACUACGUG